GAUGAACGCUGGCGGUAUGCUUUACACAUGCAAGUCGAACGCAAGUUUUAACUUGAGUGGCGGACGGGUGAGUAACACGUGAGAAUUCGCCUUUCGGCGGGGAAUAACCAUUGGAAACAGUAGCUAAUGCCCCAUAUGCUUUUAAAAGUGAAAGGAAAUUUUUCCACCUGAAGAGAAGCCCGCGUAGGAUUAGCUAGUUGGUGUGGUAAAGGCGCACCAAGGCGACGAUCCUUAGCUGGUCUGAGAGGAUGAUAAGCCAAACUGGUACUGAGACACGGCCCAGGCUCCUACGGGAGGCAGCAGUGGGGAAUAUUGGACAAUGGGCGAAAGCCUGAUCCAGCGAUGCCGCGUGAGUGAUGAAGGCCUUAGGGUUGUAAAGCUCUUUUACCCGGGAUGAUAAUGACAGUACCGGGAGAAUAAGCUCCGGCUAACUCCGUGCCAGCAGCCGCCGUAAAAC
rnacentral:rRNA from 1 species